CGCGUAGGCGGUAUGCCAAGUCAGGGGUGAAAGGCCUGGGCUCAACCCAGGAACUGCCUUUGAAACUGGCAAACUAGAGUCCGAAAGAGGAUGGCGGAAUUCCCAGUGUAGAGGUGAGAUUCGUAGAUAUUGGGAAGAACACCAGUGGCGAAGGCGGCCAUCUGGAUCGGAACUGACGCUGAGGCGCGAAAGCGUGGGGAGCAAACA
rnacentral:rRNA from 1 species